UCCAAAACUUCACGAGGAAAACACGAUGGAACAGCUCAAGAUUUGAUUCUUUUACUUUCCUCUCCUACAAAUGUCCCAGGAUUAAGAACACCUCGGUUGUUUGUUUGGAAACUUGUAUAUGGACAAUGGAGCCAGCUAGCCAUGGAGUGAAACUUCAGAAGCCAUGAGCCAAAAUACAUCUUACCUCCUGAAGCUGUUGUCUUGGGUGUGUUGUCACAGUGACGAGAUGAUAACUCACAUAGUUCAAAAAAAAAAAAUUCAAUCUAUAGGUGAUGACAUUCCAUCAGCACUGGCGAAGGUUGGAAUUGAGGAAAGUACUCCAAUUGGAAACGUAAGCUUCACACCACAUUGGCCAUAAGUCACUAGCUGUGCGUGGUGGCUAACCACACAAGGACAUCCAAGAGCCACUCAGCACCAGAUCACCAACGGUUUGGAGCACAUGUGAGUCAUUUGGAAAGAAAGGCAGCUCUGGCUUCGGUGCUUUGGUGGUUCUAAUUUCAGAAGUGUCAGUUCUCACCUGGAAAGAAAAGGUAGACAAGAGGCCUUGGAUUUAAUAAAGUACACAGACUGUAGACAGUUUUUAAUACAGUGAAAUUAGCAUAGAAGCAUAAAGCAACAGAGUCAAGACAGCAGGCUG